rnacentral:tRNA from 1 species
UUUUAUUUAGUUUAUUUAAAAUAAUGAUUUGUCAAGUCAUAGAAAACAUGUGUUAAUAAAAU